GGGCGGAGCGGCGUGCUUACCAUGCAAGUCGAACGAUGACUUUUGUGCUUGCACAAAAUGAUUAGUGGCGAACGGGUGAGUAACACGUGAGUAACCUGCCCUUAACUUCGGGAUAAGCCUGGGAAACUGGGUCUAAUACCGGAUACGACGUCCUGACGCAUGUCAUGGACGUGGAAAGCUUGAUGCGGUUUUGGAUGGACUCGCGGCCUAUCAGCUAGUUGGUUGGGGUAAUGGCCCACCAAGGCGACGACGGGUAGCCGGCCUGAGAGGGUGACCGGCCACACUGGGACUGAGACACGGCCCAGACUCCUACGGGAGGCAGCAGUGGGGAAUAUUGCACAAUGGGCGAAAGCCUGAUGCAGCGACGCCGCGUGAGGGACGAAGGCCUUCGGGUUGUAAACCUCUUUCAGCAGGGAAGAAGCGAAAGUGACGGUACCUGCAGAAGAAGCGCCGGCUAACUACGUGCCAGCAGCCGCGGUAAUACGUAGGGCGCAAGCGUUAUCCGGAAUUAUUGGGCGUAAAGAGCUCGUAGGCGGUUUGUCGCGUCUGCUGUGAAAGCCCGGGGCUCAACCCCGGGUCUGCAGUGGGUACGGGCAGACUAGAGUGCAGUAGGGGAGACUGGAAUUCCUGGUGUAGCGGUGAAAUGCGCAGAUAUCAGGAGGAACACCGAUGGCGAAGGCAGGUCUCUGGGCUGUAACUGACGCUGAGGAGCGAAAGCAUGGGGAGCGAACAGGAUUAGAUACCCUGGUAGUCCAUGCCGUAAACGUUGGGCACUAGGUGUGGGGGACAUUCCACGUUUUCCGCGCCGUAGCUAACGCAUUAAGUGCCCCGCCUGGGGAGUACGGCCGCAAGGCUAAAACUCAAAGGAAUUUGACGGGGGCCCGCACAAGCGGCGGAGCAUGCGGAUUAAUUCGAUGCAACGCGGAGAACCUUACCAAGGCUUGACAUGAACCGGAAGACCUGGAAACAGGUCCCCCACUUGUGGCCGGUUUACAGGUGGUGCAUGGUUGUCGUCAGCUCGUGUCGUGAGAUGUUGGGUUAGUCCCGCACGAGCGCAACCCUCGUUCUAUGUUGCCAGCGCGUUAUGGCGGAAACUCAUAGAGACUGCUGGGUCAACCUCCGAAGGAUGUGGGACGACGUCGAAUCAUCAUGCCCUAUGUUCUUGGCUCACCUAUGCUACAUGACGGUACAAGCGUGGCGAUCCUGUGAGGUGAACCUAUAUCCCCAGAAAGCCGGU
rnacentral:rRNA from 1 species